AGGAAUUGGCGGGGGAGCACCACAAGGGGUGCGGCGUGCGGUUUAAUCUAACUCAACGCAGAGCAUCUCACUAGCGGCGCCGGCAGGAUGAAGGUCAGUCUGAAGGGCUUACCUGACGAGCCGAGAGGUAGUGCAUGGCCGCCGGCAGCUCGUGCUGUAAAGUGUCCAGCUAAGCCUGGUAACGAGCGAGACCUGCGUCUAUACUUGCUAACGGCAGAAUCCUGGACCGAGCACUGUAUAGAGACUGCUUCGGUAACGAAGAGGAAGGCGCAGGCUACGGUAGGUCUGUAUGCUCCGAAUCUGCUAGGCUACACGCGCGCAACAAUGGAUGCGACAAUGGGCUGCAACACCGAAAGGUGAAGCCAAACCUCCAAACGCAUUCCAAGUCCAGAUCGCGGUUUGUAACUCAGCCGCGUGACGUCGGAAUCCCUAGUAAUCAGGUUUUAUCAUAGCCUGGUGAAUAUGUCCCUGCUCCUUGCACACACCGCCCGUC
rnacentral:rRNA from 1 species